UUAUCGAUUGAACAAGAAAAGUACAACAUUUUUUCUAUCUUUAUUACAACUACGUCUUUUGAUCAUUACUUAUCUUGACGAUAAUUACUACAAUUGCUGUAGUUUCUUUUGGAAAACAAACUGCAAAUAUUUAACUGGAGAAACUUUCCGUUUGUGUACAUUUAACAUUAUAAACACAUUUUGUGGACCACGAAUUUGAAGAGACAAUUGUUAAAAAGAUCUCUAAAAUCAGGCAGCUUCGAUAAGCACGAUGGCAUUUCAAAAAAACAACAAUGUGUCACAGGAAGGCGUCGAGAAGCUGUACCUUGACUCGGA